ACAUACGACCAUAGGCAGUAGAAAACUCGGGAUCCCGUCCGCUCUCCCUUAGAUAAGCUACUGACCGCCGAACUAGUANUNNGGUCGGUGACGACCAGCGAAUCCUCGGUGUUGUAAUCU
rnacentral:rRNA from 1 species